GCCUCGGUAGCUCAGCUGGUAGAGCAGCGGCCUCGUAAGCCGCAGGUCGCGGGAUCGAAGCCCGCCCGAGGCU
rnacentral:tRNA from 1 species